GGCGAGAUGGCCGAGCGGUCUAAGGCGCUAGAAUCAGGCACUUGGAUCUAGUCAUUCGUGGCGUGGGUUCGAAUCCCACUCUCGUCA
rnacentral:tRNA from 1 species